AAGGGAAGCCAACGCAAUCACCGCAAGGAAUUUUUCUUUCCUACAUCGCCUGAUCAGUCGCCCCUGCAAUCUCUCCCGCGCGGUGGAUUUGGCCUUCCUCCGAAGUCGCCCUCGCCCUCGCCCGCUGGCCUCGCAGGACAUCGCACCCGUGUUGUCCCCGUCGCCCUCGCCGUUGCGAGCCGCGGCCGUCCUCGCCCGCUGCAUGUGCUCUACGAUCUCGGUGAGUCUUGCGGUUGUAUGCUUUCCCUCUCCCUCCCCCUCCCCCUACGCUGGAUGUGCAGCUGCCAAUCUACUAAGCUGCUUGGAGCCGCAGACUCAAAUCUCUCCCCACUGCCCCUCUCGUCAAUCGCUGCUAUUGCGCCUGUCGGAUCCUCACCUAUGCCUGCACGCUAGCUCGCCGCGGCGGCCGUGGCGUCGAGCUGCCGACCAGCGGGCCCGUGCCCCCGCGCAGCUGUUGUAACGGCGGCCAGCCAACAUCUUGGCCACGAAAGAGGCAGAGGAUGAGGUGCCAAGGGAGCAGGCGGUGGCGUUCGUGGUGGACUCUGUUUCCCUCAAUAUGGGAUCCUGAGUUGUUGAUGUUUCUUUGCGCAUAUGUAAUCAGUGGAGGCGAAGGUGGUGUUGGUCUCUGUGCUGAUUAUGCAGGGCCAGUUCGGCAGGACCUCUGUGUGGAGCAAGCCAACAACAAGGAGUUCAUGUGCAAGUCCAUCCUUAUCCUCGAGACCCACUCGCCCGGUUUGGGGAAAACAAAAUCAAUGACACACUACUAGACCCCGCUUGGCCCAGGAGUAAUCGAAUGAAAAAUUUAGAUCUAAAUCAAGGCUACUUUGCUUCAUUCCUGGUAAUCUAAUACUACCCAAUUUUGUGAUUUUUGAGUGGUAAUUGGAUCUAUACUUUUUUCUUGUUUUUCUAUAGCCAUUGCUUUCUACCCAGUAGCAGCAGCCGUAGGUCAAAGCACAUCAGCCGGCUGAUUUAUAGAACUAUGGAUGUUGCCCAUGCAGCUACUGAUUUUAUAUAGCUAUAUAAGCGCUUGUCUAAAACUCAUAGAAAUCAGCUACUGAUCCACAUAGAACUAUGGUUGUCACAGAUUCACAUCAGCUAAUUUAUUCUUUAGCUACUAAUUUAUAGAACGAUAUUGCCGCUGCUGCUUCUGACCUAUAGAAAAUCAUAGCAUCCAUAGUAACCAGUUUUUAUAAAGCAGACAGCGAGCUACUAUAGUUUGUUACAUUUUCUGAAAGUUAUUUGAGCUAACGAAACCACAUUGUGCUUAAGAAAUAAUUGUAACAUGAUUUUUUUUGCAAAUGAUUUGCGUUUUCUGCAAGUGUAAAAGUUCGUUGGUAACGUAUUCUACUUGAACAAGCCUAUACUGGUUGAAGGCCACCAGGAGAAACUGAAUAUCACGCUCGGCAUUGGAACUGUCCCAGUGCUUCUGCAAAAGCUCGGCAUUGGAACUGUCCCAGUGCUUCUGCAAAAGUUGCUUCAAUAACUGUGAUGAGCUCACUGCAAUUGGUCAUCACGGUUGCCACUAUAGGAUGACUAGCGAGCGGUUGAAGUGGAGAAGGCAGCACAGGCAGCACAUACUCCAUUGAUCUCUUGUGUGAUUUUGGUAUUGGGUGGAUCUUGGCUCGAGAAAUAUGAGUCAAUUUGAUGGGAUGAGCUGCAAUUUGUUAGGCUCGAGAAAUAUCAAUUGAUUCAUGAGCUCCAGCUGAAUUUUCGCGGAGAACGCUUUUGCGGCGAGGUUGAGCCAGCAACCACGCAGGGUGACCUGAGAAAGUUGCAUAUGGAGUAGUAGAUAAGGCCAGAUACUGCACUUCUCUUCCUGUUUGGAUUUACCAAGCACCUAUUUUUUGUGUACAGACCACAAUUAUUUUUUAGUGGAUUAAUUGUGAAUGCUUAUUCUAGCACAUGAUACUAAAUAGGUGUAUCUAUGAUUUAUGAUUUUCUCAUUUGCUUUGCCUUCCUUCCCUGACUAAGUGUCACUUGAUAAAUUCUUUUCCAUUAUAUGCCAAGCAAGUUGUCUCCCUCUGUUGUGCAUAUUGAUCAAAUGGAACACGAGUCACAAGAAGCUUCAACAUUGAUAGAUCAUUAUUAUGAUUUCCAAAGGUGGUCUCUUGUUUCAAAUUUGGAGAUAUGAUUACCAUGGAGAUUGGAUGAUUUCAUUACAGACAUAUCUCGAUAUUAGGGAGUCCUGGUUUUAAUUUGAACACAACUGAAAAUAAUGCAGGCAUAGGUAAUCCAGUUUAGUUUGAUUAUCAUUUUGGAGUAUGUACUUGUUUAGCUCCUCUUGGGCAGUUUUGGCGCCGCACGCAAAUUUAUUUGUGCAAGCUUAGCUUCGCUCUCAUUUCAUUUACUGCCCAAAGCUCUACUUCUAUAUUCAUUGACCGCUCAUAGACCUAUUAAAAUUAUGUUGGAUAUUACAACCAAAAGAUCUAUAAUUAAAUAUAACAUAACUAUCUUAUUGAACUAAAGUCAAGCGGGUUCAAAGAUAAAAUAUAAAAUCUAACUUAUUCGUGCAAUGCAGUUUCAAACCUACAACUAAUGCAAAACUAUCAUUUGUCAGGUGAUUUGUUCUUAUUUUUUUGUCAGGUGAUUCUGCUGUCGUGGCGGAAGCAGCAUCCGUGCAAGUCGCGGGCGCAGGUGUGUGGCCUGUGCGUGGAGAUCGUGGAGGGCGCGAAUGUCAUGGCAGUGUGAAGAUAGUGCCCUUGCUGGUGGUGUCGACGAUGGUGUCCUCGGUGGUGGGUAUAUAUGGCAGUGAUUCUGCUGUCGCGGUAGAGGCAGCAGCCGAGCAAGCGGGUCUCCCUUAGCCAAUGGCGAGCAUGGUAGGGGCGUGUAGGCGGACCAUCUAGCGAGCCUGUGCCACCACAUGUUCCACUAAGUAGGUCAUGGCCGCGCGAUGUUGAUGUGUUUCGAGUGUUUGACUCUUUUUUUUUAUAUGUUGCAAGCCCAUAUUUCAAGUGUUUCA